CAGCAGCCGCGGUAAUACGAAGGGGGCUAGCGUUAUUCGGAUUUACUGGGCGUAAAGCGCACGUAGGCGGAUCGAUCAGUCAGGGGUGAAAUCCCAGAGCUCAACUCUGGAACUGCCUUUGAUACUGUCGAUCUGGAGUAUGGAAGAGGUGAGUGGAAUUCCGAGUGUAGAGGUGAAAUUCGUAGAUAUUCGGAGGAACACCAGUGGCGAAGGCGGCUCACUGGUCCAUUACUGACGCUGAGGUGCGAAAGCGUGGGGAGCAAACAGGAUUAGAUACCCCGGUAGUCCCUGUCUCUUAUAA
rnacentral:rRNA from 1 species